ACCCUUCACGCGGCCCUGUCACCCGCCGCGCCCUGCCCGCCGAGGCCCUGGCAGCUGGGGGGUGGGCGCUGUUCGGACGCUGCGCGCGGGACCACCUCUGCUCUCGGUGCGUAAAUUCACAGAGAAACAUGAAUGGAUGGCAACAGAAAAUGAUAUUGGAACACUGGGAGUCAGCAGUUUUGCACAGGAAACGUUGGGAGAUAUUGUUUACUGUAGUCUGCCUGAAGUUGGGACAAAAGAACAAACAAGAUGAGUUUGGUGCUUUGGAAAGUGUGAAAGCUGCUAGUGAACUCUAUUCUCCUUUAUCAGGAGAAGUAACUUAAAUUAAUGAAGCUCUUGGAGAAAAUCCAGGACUUGUAAACAAAUCUUGUUAUGAAGAUGGUUGGCUGAUCAAGAUGACACUAAGUAACCCUUCAGAACUAGAUGAACUUAUGAGUGAAGAAGUAUAUGAGAGAUAGAGAAAAUCUAUUGAGGA
rnacentral:lncRNA from 1 species